CCAGGAAACUGUGGUGGUGGAACCUCCUCCUGUCUGGUUAUCUGUUCAGCUGAAGAGGCGCUUCUGCUUUCAGGUGUUUGGACAUUCUCAGUACUGGCUACUUAUCAGCACUAAUGGAAAGGGGACUAUGUGUUGGAAGAGGUCAUCCAGAGGACAUGACUGCUGGUUGACUCAGCAGCUGAACCCAGAUACAAGAGUACGGGGGUCACCCUUUAUUAGUAUGUCCGAUUCUGAGUCCCCAGCUCCGCCAAGCUGUUUGAUGAGCUCAGCCACCUGGAUUCUUGCUGGCGUUUUCAUUUCCCGUCACAAUGUCUCCCAGCCCUGAGCAAAUGGUGA